rnacentral:tRNA from 1 species
GAGGGAAUAGCUCAGUGGUAAAGAGCAUGUGCUUAGCAUGCACAGGGUCCUGGGUUCAGUCCCCAGUCCCUCCA